GGAUUAGAAUUAAAUUAAUUUUAUUAUUUCAGAUUUGAUAUCGAUGGAUUAGAAUAAGAAGAAAAUGCAAGCAAUUAAAUGCGUUGUAGUGGGGGACGGAGCUGUAGGUAAAACUUGUUUGUUGAUCAGUUACACUACCAAUGCAUUUCCUGGAGAGUAUAUACCAACAGUGUUCGACAACUACUCUGCAAAUGUUAUGGUUGAUGGUCGGCCUAUAAACCUUGGACUAUGGGAUACGGCCGGGCAGGAAGAUUAUGACCGGCUUAGACCUCUCUCCUACCCGCAGACGGAUGUGUUCCUUAUCUGUUUCUCCCUGGUAAACCCUGCUAGUUUUGAGAACGUGAGAGCUAAAUGGUAUCCUGAGGUUCGGCAUCAUUGUCCUGGAGUUCCAAUUAUCCUGGUCGGAACUAAACUAGAUCUAAGGGAGGACAAGGAAACUAUUGAUAAACUGAAGGAGAAGAGAUUAGCUCCGAUUACAUAUCCUCAGGGCUUGGCGAUGGCUAAGGAUGUAGGUGCAGUAAAGUACAUGGAAUGCUCUGCAUUGACGCAAAAGGGACUAAAAACUGUAUUCGACGAGGCUAUAAGAGCUGUUCUGUGCCCUGUUCCAAAGAUAAAGAAGAGGCAAAGAUGCAUCAUUUUAUAAACAAUAGUUAAACAAUAUGUAUACACACUAUGCAGUAGUUGAUAUACUUCCUGCAUUUCUACAGAUUGUAUAAGCCUAUGUUGUAAUGUCCUCCCCCCCCCUCCCUCCCCUUCCGCAAUUAUGGGAUAUUAUCUUACAUUUAAGGUUGAAAGAACUGAACACUAUCUUUGGUGACCCUCAAAUUAAGAAAUUGCAUACCCGAGUCACAUUGGUGCUCUUUAAACCUUAUCUAAGCAUCUUGAAAAGUAUAAAUUCUGUCAAUAUCCUUCCGUCUUUCUGUUGCAGAAAUUCGCAAGUCACUACAUAGAGAAACCGAAAAACGAAGAUAUCUCCAUCAUUUUUGUUCAUUUAAAGGUUUAAGCGUAACAGUGUAAAUUAUGGAACUUUUUAAUCAGGGGGGUCUCUUCAUCAGUCUCUUUAAGAUGAAAAAUUACCUAAAAUUAAAAUUCAUGUUAACUGUCCCAUGAUAUCCUAAAAUAGUUCAAAUCAGUGAAAUAUAUAUUUUCAGAUAGUUUAUCAAGCAUUAUUUUAGGAUCUGUUCCCCGAUCUAAGAAAUAAUGUUAUUUCGAUAACAAUUACAUUAUUACUGAUUAAUAGAUUCUAGCGUGAAUUGGAAAAAAUGAACCGACUCCUCUAUUGUUGCAUUUUUAUAAUUUAUGUUAAGACCAAAAUUGUCCCGGAUAUCAAGCUUUCUGUUGCUUUUUAAUUUUUCUCCAUUUUUAUCUGUUACCGCACAACAAGGCUUUUCAUUGAGUAAGGAUCCUUUUUCUUUUGUAAAAAAUCAGAUUUUAUAAUUCUAUUUUUAAUAUAAACCAGUGUUGGAAGUGGGGUUGAAUGUACUUCAAAUAAUAAUAAUGAUUAAUUAUUUUUAAAAUAUUAAUAUGAUAAUUUUGGACUGGACAUAUUUUACACCACGGCACAGCAUUAGUAAAAUUUUAUUUAAAGAAAAUAUCUAGAAAUGGGUUAUAAAAGAAUAAUUCCACAACAGAAUCAGUUUAUAUAGAAGGUUUGGCAUUGUUGGUGGGGUUAAAGGCUAUAACUAAAAUUUCUUGUAAAUCGUUUUAUGCUUUCUCACUAAAUGUUCAAAAUAAGCAAAUAUUUUAAAUAAUUGCAGUAGCAUGUCCAAUUAACUAACUCUGGUACUUAAUAUUUUGAUCCAAAAACUGUUGUUUCAUUAAAAAGAUUUAUGCUGCAGAGAUUUUUAAGUAAAUUAUCGGAAUUCAGCAAGUUUUUAGAUGAAGACGUUGACAUUUCCUUAGAGAGUACCGUUGUUAAUCGGACACGUCGUCACAUUUGAAAAUAUAGUCUUUUACUAAUUUAAUUAAUGCUGAUGCAACAUUUUCUGGUUUUUAUAAUAUUUGCAGUCCGGAGCAGGUGUGUACAAUGUAUGUACACAUUGUUAUAAUGUAUACUUUAUAUGUAAUAAUGUGUAAUAUUUGUACAUAAGAUCAACCUUAAUAAACAUUUUGAUUAGUUAGAAA
rnacentral:misc_RNA from 1 species